rnacentral:lncRNA from 1 species
GCCUGAGAGUGGUGUCUCGUGUGCUUAUUUCUUCUCUUAACUGUUUUCUGCAGGUACAGCUGGAUAACUUGCCAGGAAUGAGUCUCGUGGCUGGGAAAGCACUUAGCUCUGCCCGGAUGUCGGAUGCAGUUCUCAGUCAGUCUUCGCUCAUGGGCAGCCAGCAGUUUCAGGAUGGGGAAAAUGAGGAAUGUGGGGCAAGCCUGGGAGGUCAUGAGCACCCAGACCUGAGCGAUGGCAGCCAGCAUUUAAACUCCUCUUGCUAUCCAUCUACGUGUAUUACAGACAUUCUGCUCAGCUACAAGCACCCCGAAGUCUCCUUCAGCAUGGAGCAGGCAGGCGUGUAACAAGAAACAGAGAGUUUUGUGUACAGCUUGGGAAUGAAAAGCUUGAUUGUAAACCCACAGUAUCUAGCAGCGUUGCGCCAAAUUGCCCUUGUGUUUCUCUCCACCCAAAAUAUCACAGCUGCUUUCCUCACAUUUGGUUCAUCCGUGUGCUGUUCUUUUGGGUUCUGAGAGGGUUUUGCCAUGUUUGCUUGUAUGACCAAGUCACCAAGGAAAUAAACAGGAAGGAAAUCCAUGUUCUCCAUCUUUUGUGAAAGUAUAUUUGAGUUGGUGGUUUUUUGUUUUGUUUGGGGGUUUGUGUUUUGUAUUGUUUUUGGUAUGUUUUCUUCCAGAGGUGAUAUACUUUCUUUCUUUUUCUUCCUUUCUUUUUUUUCUUUCGUUCCUUUUUUGAAACAGGAGAGCAAAGCAGUUAGAGUUCAGAGGCCAGCGGCCUCAGGGCCACUCCCUCCCUAGCCUUCAUCAGCAGAGCACCCUCCAUCCCCCUGCAUUGCUCUUCUGUGAAAGCAAAUACUAAAGGAUGCCAUCCUCUGGAAUCCUAAUGGCAGGCAAAGGGAGAGAGGAAGGGUGACGGCUUCUGGCACUUAGAAAACAAAAAGAACAAAAAAAGAGAAACCCCCAAGCCUGGAACGCAGAGAGGUCUUUACUGCUGGGAUCCACGGAAAACAUGUCUGUCCCAGCCAAGAUCAUAUGAAGAGUUUGGCACGGAGGCUGAGAAUGACCUGGCAUAGAUGGUUUGCCAGUUAGAAUGUCUCAAUUUGAGCCUUUGCUUUUGGUGGAUAACUCAGUUCCCCUCUUGUAACCUGGAAAGUUGGUUGCCUUUAUCAUCCUGCUGGUUUUAUCCAUGGACUGAACACCCAACAUCAGUGCACUAUGCUUUCUAUGGCAUCUUUCAUUCUCAUUUUAUACUGUGCUAUAAAAAGGAUUGUUUCUCCA